AGGGCCUCCAGCUGGGGAGGAAGGGAAAACAGACAAAUGAGACUAGAUGGGUUUAAACAAGCUGACAUGCAGCUUGAAAUGCUGCUCUGAUAAGAAUAUGAUCUACCUCCUUUUGAUGUAAUCAGGUCCAGCUCCUGCUCUAAAGAGCUGAUGGUGCUCUGCAGCCCGGCCUCCAACUGCAGCCAGCGUGCCUCCUUCAGUGCCAGCUCCUCCUCCAUGCCACACAGCUGGACCUCCUGCAAAGACACACACCUUAUUGGUGGUAGUAGCAAUGAAGCAGAUAUAAAGAGCAAAAAAUCCUUCUUUUUUUUAAACUUACAACACCAAAAGAUUCUGCCAGUGGUGUAAGACGUUUCCUUGUUGUUUUGAAUGAAGUCUAACUUAACUAACAUACUUUUCAAGAGUAAAAAUGCUAGUAUGUUGAAAUAAGUCAUAGUAUUUCAUAACAUAACCGUUUUUACAACAACAGUUUACUUGCUAAAAUGUAUUUUUUGUGUGACAACACUGCCUACAAGUUAUACACUGAAAAACUUAAAUAUGAGCGAUUAAAUAAUAAUAAAAUGUGCUUUGACUUUACCUGCUUUUUUGUGUGCAGCUUGGUGGCGUCCAACUCUCUGGUUAAAGCCUCACAGUGACGGUGAGUUUCUUCAAGCUCUUUUAGUGAAUUCUGAAGUUUCUGCUGUGACAUGUGCAGCUGCUGGCCGAGCUCCUGAGACUCCUAAAAUGCAUGCACGUGCAUUUAUCAGCAUACAGUUUGAUGAUCUACAUUGUAACACAUCUCACCUCAGGUAAAUGUCUGAAUUCAUUUAAUCAUUCUAUGAACUGCUCUGAACUAAAAGAAUCAAGUUUUUAUGAUUUGCUUUUAACUUUUAGGAUAUGAUGUUCUUAAACAAUAGGUGUAAUAAAAUUAUUUAAAUGUGUUGAUUAUGUUGUUGUAGCCUACAGUUUAGUGAUUCAAGUGUGGGCUAUUUGACUUUAUUGAUCUGUAAUGAAAUAAAGCAAUUGUAAAAUUAAUAAACCCCAUAUACUAUAUAUUAUAUAUUUAUUUUUUAACUUUUUUUAAUUGCAAAUUAUGUGCCAAAAGAAAACCUUUGCCAACAUCUGUUUUAUCUAAUGAUAAAGUUUUCAGUCUGUUCAUUGCACUGUUUUGCCCAACUUCUUACUAAUCUCGCUGUCCUCUGCUGACCUCACCACAAAAAACUAGCCAUCCACUGGACCGAUAAAACAAUUGAUUGUAUUAUUCAGUUUUAAAUCAUGAAAGAUUAAUACUUAUCUGUGUAUAGAUGUAAUAUUGCCACGCAAAGUACAAUGCUGUACCCCGCCCCCCCCAACUGCACAGCCUCACAAUUUGCUGUGCUGAUUUUAAAAGGUAAUUUUCAAAGCGGCUUAUAGGACACCAGAUUAUGAUUUCUAUUAGACUCAAGUAGUAAGACAAUUAAAUAAGACAUUAUUUAUAGUUUUAUGAAGUUACAACAGAAAUUAAAUGCAAAAACCAGGUGUGUAAACAUUUACAAACCCUUUGUAUGAUCAGGGCUUAACUGUGUGGCUGACAGUGUUUGAUUAACAUCUAUUGUAUAGCCCUCAGAUCUCAUAUAACAGCUGACAGUAAACAGGGGCUGUAUUCACAAAACAUCCUAAGGCUAAAAGUAGCUCCUAACUGGCAGUUUAGGAGAAACACCAAAAAUAAGCAUAACCAUUUCUCUCAGUCCCUCAGCUAAAGUUGCUCUCAGCAGUUUUGUGAAUAUCUCCAAGAGGAAACUCAGUGCCAUUAUGGCUUUGCCAUUAAAAGAUGUUUUAUUUUUACUUUUGAUCUAUUUUAAUUUAAACUUUUAACUUACUUUUUUAAUUGUUUUUCAUUUAUAUAUUUUUUAACAUAAAUCAUUAUGAGCCACUGUGCAAUGAAAACUCAAAGGGUGUGAACAUUUAUGAUUGAACUUAAUCCUGCUCCAGAUAAUCCGGUUCUGUACUUUUCCAAGUGGUUCGUCUGGAAAUGUCUGUCAACGCGGAGCUGACUGACAGUGAAAACAUUUUCUCACGCUUUGCCUGCCUAUUCCGUGACUGUUCCUGACCUUCGUGUUUCUGUCUGUGAGCUCCCUCUGUGUGUCCCUCAGUUCUCUCUCUCUGGCUUCCAAGCUCUGCUGCAGGGACUCCACCUUCCUCUCCAUCUCCUGCUUGUGCUCUCUGAUGGCCACCUCCAGCUGACCCAGCUGAGAACAACGGGGACGGCCGGAGAAAAGAAACAAAGACAAUUUAAGAAAAUCAUAACAGAAAUUAGGGGAGAGACUCGGCAGCAAAACAUGUUCUUCAAAUUAAAUGAAGUGUACUAUUGUUUGUGUGCGUGUUGUACCAGCUGUGCUCUCUGCUGGAGCUCCCCCUGUCUUUCUUUCAGCGCACUGUCCAUGUCUAAGACCUCGUGAGUCCUCUCCUCCAACUCCCUCUGGGUCUCACUGUGAAGACACACACACACACACACACACACACACACACACACACACACGCUAUUUUAUAAAUAGUUUAUCAGAUACCUUAUCUAUUUAAUAUUUGUAAAAGUCACACUGGGUAACUUGAAGAAACAAGACUGGGAGUGUCCUCUGAACGGCAGGUCUGUGCAGAUCUGUGCAGAUCUGUGUUUGAUUCUUGCAGUGCCAAAUACAGUAACAUGAUUUGAAGACUUUAUAUAGGAGGCUAUUGUUAACCAUUUCUUAGGUUGUUCUUUGCUUUGGGUCAACAUGACUGAGGGUGUAACACAUUUCAGUGCCCUUGUGUGUGUAAAAGGGCUCAUGACUUUAACCUAGAUCUUGACAACUGUAUGUUUUUUUUAAAUGGUAUUUUCUGCCUCAAGCAUUGGCAUGAGAUUAGCACACAAGCACUCGUAAUCCCUGUACUCUGAAAGACAGCAACACUAAAUAAAAUCCAACAGGAAUGGAUGGAAUGUA